rnacentral:lncRNA from 1 species
AACCUAAUAUUCCCUCCAAUAUAAACGACUGUUGACUACAAUGAAAAGUAUGGAAUUUACAUAACGUAACUCUUUCACACCAAGAAAAGAAAGUAGUCUCAAAUUAUAUUUCAGUGAAAAUAAGAAUAUAUUAUCAAUUCGUAUAUUUUAACUAAUUUAAUUCAGUCAGGGAUAGUCACAUGUUAAACUAUAUUUUCGAAGGUAGAGAGAAAA